rnacentral:rRNA from 1 species
GACGAACGCUGGCGGCGUGCUUAACACAUGCAAGUCGAACGGAAAGGCCCUGCUUUUGUGGGGUGCUCGAGUGGCGAACGGGUGAGUAACACGUGAGUAACCUGCCCUUGACUUUGGGAUAACUUCAGGAAACUGGGGCUAAUACCGGAUAGGAGCUCCUGCUGCAUGGUGGGGGUUGGAAAGUUUCGGCGGUGGGGGAUGGACUCGCGGCUUAUCAGCUGGUUGGUGGGGUAGUGGCUUACCAAGGCUUCGACGGGUAGCCGGCCUGAGAGCGUGACCGGCGACAUUGGGACUGAGAUACGGCCCAGACUCCUACGGGACGCAGCAGGGGGGAAUAUUACACAAUGGGCGGAAGCCUGUUGCAGCAACGCCGCGUGCGUGAUGACGGCCUUCGGGUUGUAAACCGCUUUCGCCUGUGACGAAGCGUGAGUGACGGUAAUGGGUAAAGAAGCACCGGCUAACUACGUG